ACCAAAAAUAAGUUUUCUUUUCAUAAUAGACAUCAACAAAUAAUAAAUAUACUAUUAAAAAUAGGACAAUUUCCUUUCCAUCACAGCAAUUCUUUCUAAAUAUGAUUUGAGAAGUUACCUAACAACUUCUUCAACCACCCCCCUCCAAAUGAAACCUGAAGAAUCAUACAUACAUUACUAAGUGAAAAUUACAUACUUCACAGACCAUAGAGUUCAUGAAUUACACUAAAGAUGAUACAUACAAUAUAUUUGCCUUGAGAUAUAUUUCAAGAUACAGGGAUUACUUCAAAGGGGCUUUAUAAUUGAACUUACAAAGGCAAACACAAAUGAUUAAAGCCUCCCUUCUUACAACAAGUAGAAAAUAGAAGAAUGUCUAAAGUAAAAACCAACCUGCUGAUGUUGGAGAACCCUUGCAUAUAUCCAUUCCCGUAUAAACAUCAUCAUGAGGUGAAAACAAAAACAUAGUUUAUAAUUUAAACACAAAAACCAGAUUGAGCCGUCCCGCCAAUAUCACACUGCAGCCAUCGCCGCCGCCGCCGCCACUACCACCACUAUGACCAUAAAUGAUACAUAGGAGGAUGUCAAUUAGUGAAAAGUUGAAAAGGCAAGUUUUUACAACAAACCCAACAUUUCACACAAGCUGUAUAAAGCAUUCUCAUGAAUAAUGAGACAGCCCUCAUAAUCUGACUCUGCCGCCUUUCUAACCACCUCCUCGGGCGCUUGCAGAAGAACCCUAUCAUCACAGAAGCGCACCAACUUAGAGAAAAAAAAGGUGGGAUUUUUAAAUUAAACUUCUAUCUUCUUCUUGAGAGAGAGAGAGAGAGCUCAAAAGGGACGUUGGGGGUGCAUUUUGAUCAAUAGGAUCAAGAACUACACAAGUAGAUGAACAAAACAUGGGGAUUAAUUUGAUGGCAUUCUUGUCCUGUUUUGAAAACCCCAAAAAAGAAAAAUGUUGUUGAGUACACAAAUAAGAAGCUAUUACACAGCUCAGGACAUGAGAUAGUAGAGAGAGAGAGAGACAAGAGGAGGAGAAGGANNN
rnacentral:lncRNA from 1 species